rnacentral:rRNA from 1 species
GAUAAACGCUGGCGGCGUGCCUAAUACAUGCAAGUCGAGCGAACGGACGAGAAGCUUGCUUCUCUGAUGUUAGCGGCGGACGGGUGAGUAACACGUGGAUAACCUACCUAUAAGACUGGGAUAACUUCGGGAAACCGGAGCUAAUACCGGAUGAUAUUUUGAACCGCAUGGUUCAAAAGUGAAAGACGGUCUUGCUGUCACUUAUAGAUGGAUCCGCGCUGCAUUAGCUAGUUGGUAAGGUAACGGCUUACCAAGGCAACGAUGCAUAGCCGACCUGAGAGGGUGAUCGGCCACACUGGAACUGAGACACGGUCCGGACUCCUACGGGAGGCAGCAGUAGGGAAUCUUCCGCAAUGGGCGAAAGCCUGACGGAGCAACGCCGCGUGAGUGAUGAAGGUCUUCGGAUCGUAAAACUCUGUUAUUAGGGAAGAACAUAUGUGUAAGUAACUGUGCACAUCUUGACGGUACCUAAUCAGAAAGCCACGGCUAACUACGUG